UAUUAGUUCGUUGGUCACGUACCAGGGUGCAUUUAUAAUGGAAAGCGUUGAAGUAUUUCAAUGUUGGAAUUACCUGCUGUUCCCCAUAGUUGGAUUCUGCAGGUUCAGACAGGUUUUAUUACGGUCUUAAUGAGGGUAAUUUUAUUGUGUGUGCUUAUGACGUUGUUAAUGAGAACCAUUUAAAGAGAUUUUCGAAUUCGAAAUACGAUUUUACUUCCGUUACAUUGUUUACUACAAGACAGUGGCCAUUGUAAUAUAAAUUUGGGUUAAAUCUCUACAAUAGCAAUAAAGUAGUUGUGCUGGCAACACUGUUUCAAAUGUUAGACUUUAAGUGUUUCAAUCGUAUCGCAAUCUAAACGAACGAUAUUAUUGAGCAAGUGGAAUUUACGUUUAUCAACGAGAAUAUCACUUUGAAACUAAAAAAUCCGACUGCUUAAUCAAAUUAAAAACACGAUGAUUAUACCUGUACGUUGUUUUACGUGUGGAAAAGUGAUCGGUAAUAAAUGGGAAGCUUAUCUUGGUUUGUUACAGGCAGAAUACACUGAAGGUGAUGCUCUCGACGCAUUGGGUUUAAAACGAUACUGCUGCCGUAGAAUGCUUCUUGGACACGUAGAUUUAAUUGAGAAGCUUUUGAAUUACGCACCAUUAGAAAAAUAAAAAUGUGAAGUAAAAAUUCUCUCAUUUCACUUUAAAUAUUAAGAUACAAAUUACCAAUUAUAUAAUAGGAUAUUGUUAUUUAUACAGAAAUAUUUCUUAGGAAAUGUAUGAUGACAAGGAAUAUGUAGAAAUUUCCAACAACUGUAUAAAAAGUCAAUUGAUUUAUAACAAGUUCGAUAAGCAAAAAUUGCUUCGGAAGGAUUUUGCUUUCUUUUAAAUGUACAUUUGUAUUAAAUGCAACACAGUAGAAUGAAACAUUUGCUGCACUGUGAAUCACAUACAUGAAACAUGUUAUGGCUUGUUUACAAAUGUUUGAAUUAUUACAAUAAUACAUGCUAUUAAAUUUAGGAAGAAAAAUGAAGGUUAUACUUUAAGAUUUGAUUGUUAAUUUAUAAGACUAACAACACGCAAACAUACUUCUCUAUGUAUUAACAAUUUUUAUAGAUCUUAAUUGUAGCUAAAAUUUUUUAAAAUUCUUUAUAUGUUUCAAAUAGGGUACAGUUAUAUGUGCAGAAUAUAAAAAAAUGUUCAAACGUAAUUUAUCAUUAUAAUAAAGUAAAAAAUUCCAAUUUGUUAAAUAAAUAAUAUCAAUCAAAAUUAAUUACAACGUAUUGCUCCGAUGUAAAAUAUUUCUUACGAAUACUGUUAACUUCUCUCAGUCUAGUAUCUUCACGAAUUAAAUAGAAUAUAUAUAGUAUAUAUUAUGUUUUAGGAACAGAGUAAGUUACUAGAUAUAUUUUCAAAUUAGUCACUUAUUAACGAUUAAAUCUUCUCAUAUAACCUCCCCUAAUAGUUCUCAUUUUAUAAUAUAAAUUGUUUGUGCGUAGAUAUUAUUUGAACUAUAUCGAAUGUUAGUUUUCCAAUUUCUCAUUCUUAAAAGAAUUUAAUUUCGAUUCAUUGAAUUCUCAUUUGCACAACAACCGAAGUUACGUUGGUUAGAAUUCAUUCUAUCUUACUAAAAUACUAGGACAUGUCUUGUAAGCAUAAUAUGAUCGCAUCUAAAUUUCUGAUAUAAAUUUUACCAAACUUCUGAUUAUACGUAUCUUACAAAAUAAAUUGAUAUCUUCAAUUUA